GAUGAACGCUGGCGAGAUGCCUUACACAUGCAAGUCGUACGGGGAUUUUUAAUUCAAGUGGCGGACGGGUGAGUAACACGUAAGAAUUUGCCUUUAGGAGGGGGACAACAACUGGAAACGGUUGCUAAUACCCCCAUAUGCUUUCGAGUGAAAUGGAUUUUUCCGCCUAAAGNGAAGCUUGCGGCUGAUUAGCUUGUUGGUGAGGUAAUGGCUCACCAAGGCGACGAUCAGUAUCUGGUUUGAGAGGACGACCAGCCACACUGGGACUGAGACACGGCCCAGACUCCUACGGGAGGCAGCAGUGGGGAAUUUUGGACAAUGGGGGAAACCCUGAUCCAGCCAUUCCGCGUGUGCGAUGAAGGCCUUCGGGUGUAAAGCACUUUUGGC
rnacentral:rRNA from 1 species